GGGUGAGUAACACGUAUGCAACCUGCCCCUGUCAGGGGGACAACCCGCCGAAAGGCGGGCUAAACCCGCGUACAUGCCACCGGGGCAUCCCGGAGGCAGGAAAGGCUUCGGCCGGACAGGGGUGGGCAUGCGGCGCAUUAGGCAGUAGGCGGGGUAACGGCCCACCUAACCGACGAUGCGUAGGGGUUCUGAGAGGAAGGUCCCCCACACUGGUACUGAGACACGGACCAGACUCCUACGGGAGGCAGCAGUGAGGAAUAUUGGUCAAUGGUCGGGAGACUGAACCAGCCAAGCCGCGUGAGGGAUGAAGGUACAGAGUAUCGUAAACCUCUUUUGUCAGGGAACAAAGGCGGGGACGUGUCCCCGGAUGAGUGUACCUGAAGAAAAAGCAUCGGCUAACUCCGUGCCAGCAGCCGCGGUAAUACGGAGGAUGCGAGCGUUAUCCGGAUUUAUUGGGUUUAAAGGGUGCGCAGGCGGUCUGUUAAGUCAGCGGUCAAAGCCCGGGGCUCAACCCCGGCCCGCCGUUGAAACUGGCAGUCUCGAGUUGGAGAGAAGUAUGCGGAAUGCGCGGUGUAGCGGUGAAAUGCAUAGAUAUCGCGCAGAACUCCGAUUGCGAAGGCAGCAUGCCGGCUCCACACUGACGCUGAGGCACGAAAGCGUGGGUAUCGAACAGGAUUAGAUACCCUGGUAGUCCACGCAGUAAACGAU
rnacentral:rRNA from 1 species